rnacentral:misc_RNA from 1 species
AACUUUUGACAAUGGAUCACUUGGCUCUCGCAUCGAUGAAGAACGCAGCGAAUUGCGAUAAGUAAUGUGAAUUGCAGAAUUUCAGUGAAUCAUCGAAUCUUUGAACGCACCUUGCGCUCCUUGGUAUUCCGAGGAGCAUGCCUGUUUGAGUGUCAUCGAAUUUCUCAAAGCCCAUGUAUUGAUUUUCAUGGGCUUUGGACUUGGGAGCUGCUGGUGGCGAAAAGCUGUCAGCUCUCCUCAAAUGCAUUAGCAAAGGGCUAGCAAGUCUUUGACGUGCACGGCCUUCGACGUGAUAAUGAUCGUCGUGGCUGGAGCGUUUGGACAUGCAUGAAUCAUCCGUGCUUCCAAUCAAUCCUAGGCUAGCCUUGAGUUUUAGCUGCUUAGCUAUUAGUUCGGUCGCAAGGCCAACGAACGUUGGGCAGGCUCAGGCUCAGGCUCGUCUUUCUUCGAAACUUG